AUGCUUUUUACAAGAGAGGCUCCGUUGGAUGGUAUGCUGUUUUACAAGAGAGGCUCAGUUUGGAUGGUAUGCUGUUUUACAAGAGAGGCUCAGUUUGGAUGGUAUGCUGUUUUACAAGAGAGGCUCAGUUUGGAUGGUAUGCUGUUUUACAGAGAGGCUCAGUUUGGAUGGUUAGCUGUUUACAAGAGAGCUCGGUUUGAGCCAUUUUAAAGGCGACCGCUGCUUCCAGCCGAGACCGUUCGGAAGGUGUUGUGCAUAUAUUAUCACCUUCGGUGAGGUUUUUUCCUGUUGUUCGGGCACACAAAACUUUUCUAGAGGCAAGCCAAAGUCGGUAGCCGAAGUCUACACCCCUUCGUUCGGUGAUUGUUAACAGUAGGGAUUCUUCCAUGAAGACUUUGCUGUCGUUCAACAAGACAGGCAACUCGUUCUGAUGUAUUUUCUUGGAGGGGGGGGGGGGGGGGGUAAUACUUCACCAAACAUUAGAUGUCAAAUUGUGUGACUAAGCUCUUCUGCAAAAGGUCAAAAUUAAUGACAGAUGUCUUGAGUUAUCUUAGAUUCAUUCUGGCUAUUUUGAGGAAUGCAUACUGCUCCAUUGUCUCGAAGCGGACAAACAGCACUAUUUCUGCUUUUUCUCAUUUUUCAAGCGAAUGCAUUUUAAGGGAGUAUGCGGGCACACUCGUUCGGUUCGCCUAGUCACUUUGGCUAGCUGCCAGCUGAACUGAAGCGUGCUGACCCCGUAACACUGCCACUUCAGCAAAGGACAACACAACUUCACAUGGACCACACACACACCAGCCCUCAAAUCCUGCCUGCCUUCCCAGAUGUGUGUUUGCAGUGACUGAGCCCUAUAAUCCCCCACUCCUCCC
rnacentral:lncRNA from 1 species